rnacentral:rRNA from 1 species
GCGGGUGGGACCCACAGCGAAUGGUUCAUCAAGUCUUCAAAAAAGAAUAUAUACGAUUGCAUUGCAUAUACUAACGGAUGCGAUCAUACCAGCACUAAUGCACCGGAUCCCAUCAGAACUCUGCAGUUAAGCGUGCUUGGGCGAGAGUAGUACUAGGAUGGGUGACCUCCCGGGAAGUCCUCGUGUUGCAUCCCUCUUUUAUGUUUAACC